CCUACGGGGGGCAGCAGUAGGGAAUAUUGGACAAUGGGAGCAAUCCUGAUCCAGCGACGCCGCGUGAGUGACGAAGGCCUUCGGGUCGUAAAGCUCUGUUGUACGGGAAAUUGUACUGUAUAAGAAAGGACCGGCUAACUUCGUGCCAGCAGCCGCGGUAAGACGAGGGGUCCUAGCGUUGUUCGGAAUCAUUGGGCGUAAAGCGUAUGUAGGCGGCUUUUCAAGUCAGAUGUGAAAUCCCAUGGCUUAACCAUGGAACUGCAUUUGAAACUGUAGAGCUUGAGUAUUGGAGAGGAUGGUAGAAUUCCUGGUGUAGUGGUGAAAUACGUAGAUAUCAGGAGGAAUACCGGUGGCGAAGGCGGCCAUCUGGCCAAAACUGACGCUGAGAUACGAAAGUGUGGGGAUCAAACAGGAUUAGAUACCCUUGUAGUC
rnacentral:rRNA from 1 species